AUUGAACGCUGGCGGCAGGCUUAACACAUGCAAGUCGAGCGGGGUGAUGGUGCUUGCACUAUCACUUAGCGGCGGACGGGUGAGUAAUGCUUAGGAAUCUGCCUAUUAGUGGGGGACAACAUCUCGAAAGGGAUGCUAAUACCGCAUACGUCCUACGGGAGAAAGCAGGGGAUCACUUGUGACCUUGCGCUAAUAGAUGAGCCUAAGUCGGAUUAGCUAGUUGGUGGGGUAAAGGCCUACCAAGGCGACGAUCUGUAGCGGGUCUGAGAGGAUGAUCCGCCACACUGGGACUGAGACACGGCCCAGACUCCUACGGGAGGCAGCAGUGGGGAAUAUUGGACAAUGGGGGGAACCCUGAUGCAGCCAUGCCGCGUGUAUGAAGAAGGCCUUCGGGUUGUAAAGUACUUUCAGCGGGGAGGAAGGCGAUAAGGUUAAUAACCUUGUCGGUUGACGUUACCCGCAGAAGAAGCACCGGCUAACUCCGUGCCAGCCGCCGCCGUAA
rnacentral:rRNA from 1 species